CCGCGGUUCCCGCCGGCGCCUCUCCCUCCACACCUCCCUGCAAGCUGAGGGAGUGGGCUCCGGCCUUGGCCAGCCCAGAAAGGGGCCCCCACAGUGCAGCGGUGGGCUGAAGGGCUCCCCAGGUGCAUCCAAAGUGGGAGCCCAGGCAGAGGAGGCGCCGAGAGCGAGAGAGGGCUGUGAGGACUGCCAGCACGCUGUCACCUCUCAGAACCAGGGGAGAAACCUGAGAAGUGUCUUUCAGCACACUACCUGGAUCCUAAUGGCUACUUCUGCAGAGAGAACACCAGAGGGGAAAGGAAUCUAUCAGAAGGCAAGGAAUCUUAGGAGAAGAAGAAAGAAAAGGGGUUUGUCUUGCUAUAUCUGGAGUGGCAGAGUGAAAGAAAAUAUGUAUGUAAGUGGACCCACGCAGCUCUAACCUAUGUUGUCCAAGAGUCACCUGCACAUGGUAGAAAACUUAUCAAGAGGAGGUGGAGCAAGAUGGCAAAAUAGAAGCCUCCACUGAUCAUCCCCUCACAAAGACACCAAUUUAACAACUAUCUACACAUAAAAGCACUUUCAUAAGAACCAAAAAUUACGUGAGCAUUCACAGUACCUGGUUUUAACUUCAUGUCACUGAAAGAGACACUGAGGAGGUAGAAAAAAGUCUUGAAUUGCUACCACCCCUCUAUCCCCCCGCAGUGGCAGCUUGGUGCAGAGAGAGAAUCUGAGCUACUUGGGAGAGGAAGAGCACAGCAAUUGUGAGACAGUGCAUUGAACUCAGUCCUGCUCUGUUAUAGAAGAAAGCAAAGCCGGAAAAACUCAGCCAAUGCCAGCAGACAGAGGGAGCAUUUAGCCCAGUACUAAACAGAGAAGACUCACUCAUCCCAGCAGUUGGAACCUAGGUUCCUGCAUGCUUCGCUACCACAGGCUAAAGUGCUCUGGGGAUCUCAAUAAGUUCGAAAUGCAGUCUAGGCCACAAGGACUGCAACUCCAAGGUUGCAGGAGUGCUGAACAGGGCUCAGAGCCUGGGGACUUCGGGGACUUGCAGCCUACUGAGACACCAGGUGGGGUAGCUAAGGGAGUGCUGGUGCCACACCUCCCCUAACUCCACGUUCCACAGCUCAUGACUCCAAAAAGGACCCCUUCCUUCUGCUUGAGAAGAAGAGAGGAAAUAGAGGGAAAACCUUUGACUUGUAUCACAAAUACUAGCUCAGUCACAUCAGGAAAGGGCACCGGUCAGUCAUGAAAGCCUCUGUCUUCUCAGUGAGAAGAGGAGUGAGUUUGAAUAGAAUGGGAAGCAAUUUUGCCUUAAGCAGUACCCAGCUUGACUUUCCCCUUUAGCUUAGUGAUUUUGGGGCUCCAAGAUUUAUUUUCCUUUCACAGUGUGUAUGAUCAGAGCAUGAACAGAUUAUUCACAAAAAACAAAUCAAAUAUACAUGUAAAAGAUGUUUCUUCAUGAUUAAUCAUAAAAAAAUAAUUUAAC
rnacentral:lncRNA from 1 species